rnacentral:piRNA from 1 species
UGUAGUGAUGCUUUCCUCUGAGC